CCCUAAUGCUAUCGAGUGCGACUAGCCCUGCGAGUCGUCAUCCCGAUGCGUGGCAUACGGCUCUGUAACGCGUACUCAACCCGCCCUUAGGACGUGGAUAACCUCGGGAAACUGAGGAUAAACCGCGAUAGGUCAUAAUUUCUGGAAUGGUUUAUGGCUGAAAUCUAUAUGGCCCCUGGAUUGGACUGCGGCCGAUCAGGCUGUUGGUGAGGUAAUGGCCCACCAAACCUGUAACCGGUACGGGCUCUGAGAGGAGGAGCCCGGAGAUGGGCACUGAGACAAGGGCCCAGGCCCUAUGGGGCGCAGCAGGCGCGAAAACUCUGCAAUAGGCGAAAGCUUGACAGGGUUACUCUGAGUGAUGUCCGCUAAGGAGAUCUUUUGGCACCUCUAAAAAUGGUGCAGAAUAAGGGGUGGGCAAGUCUGGUGCAGCCCGCCGCGGUA
rnacentral:rRNA from 1 species